AUGUGGUUCUUUCUUCUGCCUGCAAAUGAAUGUUCCUGCCCGAGCCACAGGUUCUGCUGUAGACAGUGCAUGCCUGCAUACAUCUUCGUGAAAUUAACAUGGUUCAUGCACAUCAGGCGAGGGAAUCCGAGUCUUUUAUUCCACAUGAAGCUAGUUUGUCCCCUUUUUUCCUAUGCCAGUCAUUGGUCAUUGCAGAAAGGACUUUAUUAGGUUACUAGUCAGUUCAUUGACACAGUGCAAUGAAGAGGACAAUGGAAAAUGCAAAAUUCUUAAUGGAUAAAUGAUUAAAUAGUCAACAAACAGACAAAUACAUGAUAUUUAAUAUAUAGAAAGAUAGGUAGGUAGGUAGGUAGGUAGGUAGGUGGAUAGAUAGAUAGACAGCAGUAGAUUUAUGUUAUUUUAUUUUGAGACAGGAUCUCUACAUAGCCCUGGCUGUCCCAGAACUCACUGUGUAUACCAGGCUAGCAUGGAAGUCAUAGAAAUCUGUCUGCUUUUGUCUCCCAGUAGGGAUAAAACAUGUGUACCACCAUGCCUGGCAUUCCUCACCUUUUAGUACCUUAUCUUUGAAACUUUUCACUCUUAAAGUAACUGGAAAUGGCAAAUAGCCAAUUUUUCUCUCUCCCUCCCCCUCUCCCACUCUCCCUCUCCUCUCCCACUCUCCCUUUCUUUUUCCCUCUCUCUCUCUCCCUCUUCCCUCUCUCUCCCUCCCCCUCCCUCUUUCUUUCUCUCUCUCCUGUCAUGUGUCACUUCAUACCUCCCGUCUAUCACCAUGCAUUUGCAAGUAGCCUUUCCUUCUACCUAGAUGCUCGGUUACAGCCUUUGCUGCUGUCCUCAUCACGAUUUAUUUUUGAGUGCAGAUUUCCCGAUAUGUAUCGUGUCCCAGAAAGAAAUUCUGACACCUAAAACAGUUCCUGCCAGUUACUAUCCUUCUGUCAGUAGCUUUGCCCUGAUUUAGACUGAUUCUUGACAGCCUCCCACAGGCAAACACCUGCACAAGCCUGUGGUAGCUACAGGUGGAUUCCAAGACCUGAACUUGAUCUGUGCAGAACUGUGGGUUCCUGCUGAAUGCAUCAUGGAAGAACGAGAGGAGCCUCGCCCCCUCUCCCUGCAAAGUCAUUUUGUUAUUCAAAGAGAACAAGAAUACAGAACAGCUGUUGUUUCAAAGGAGUUUACAUAGACGUUUAGUGAUGCGGCAGGGCCAAUGGCGUUCGAGGGUUAUUUCCAAUACUGUAUCACUGUGAAGUAUUUUUAGUCUUUGGGGGAUAUUGUACGUGGCAGACACAUUGUUGACAUCUGGCAGGUUCAUAUGCAGCCACUGAGAUUUUUUUCAAAACAAAACUGUUGCAAAGGAUAUUUAAACCCGAAUGUCAGUUAGGAAUAAAAUGUUCCCUUCUUAGACUGUCUUUCCUGGUGUGAAAUGUACAAAUUCUAAAGAUUGGGAGUGAGUCAGUUUAGAUAUUCCAAAACACAUAAAUGGAAAGAAAAGCUUUUUCUCCCUCUGAAUGUCAACCACUUCUAAAAUUACAGGACAAACUUCGUUGCAAUGAUUUAAAGAAAAUAGGAGGAUUUUCUGUAUCUUCCCUGAACACAUUCAAGUAUGAUAUCAUCUACUUGGAAGUGCAUCGUCACAUGCCCUAUAAUUGGACAGGGCUCAGAUUUCUAUACCAUGGCUUCGUUGUUAAAUGGCAAGCGAAUGUUGUAAUUAACCAUUCUGAGUUCAGAAUCAUUUAUUGCUUUAUCAAAAGGGUGACACCAGGGCCAGCAAAAUGACCCAGCUGGUAAAGGCACGUGCUACAAGCCUCAGUUCCAUCCCUAGAAUCCUAGGGAUGAUGGAAAGAGAGAACUGACUCUGUAAGUUGUCAUCUGCUCUCCACACACAUGCUGUGGCAUGGAUACUCCCACACAUACAUGCAUGCGCACCCAAAAUAACAAUAAGUAAAUGUUUAACAAGGAGGACAUCAAUAGUCCCUAUCCCCUAGGACUAUUGGGAAGAGCAAAUGGCAUAUCUAUAAAUAGUUAAAGCAGGUGUCUGGUGCACUAAGUGCUCAGUUGAUGCAGCUGUUAUUUUGCUAUUAUAGAAAACUUAAUGUACUAAGAAAUGCAUGAGGUGUUUUUUUUCUUUUAGACAGAGAUAGUUAACAUUAGGUGAUUCUUCUUUGAAGUUGAUAAUAGAUUUAUAAAACUCCUUCUAUGAAAUUACUGUACUCGACUCACAUGGAAAUUAUGUAAUUCAAAAAUGAAAGCCAUGCAAUUGCUCUCAAACAUUUCCAGUUUCUGCAAGAUACUGGUUUUAUACCAUUGUUCUGUUAGUCAGAAAAUGAAUAUCCAAUUUUAGACUAAUAGACUAAAAAAAAAAAAAAAAAGAUGUAAAACCCAUCUUUGCCACCAUCUAACCAUUGCAUUAUCUUUUUACACUUCUAACAAGUUUUGUGGAAAGAGACAAUCAACCUAUUAGACUCUGAGAGAGUCUCAUGUAGCCUCAAACUAUAGCCAAUGCUGGUUUUGAAUUUCUAGCUCUCCUGUCUCUUCCCCCAAGUGUUAAGAUUACAGGCACAGGCCCCUGUGUCUAGCUGAUUCCCUUCUUAAGCAGGUUAAUUUGGAAAGUUUUUCCUAUAUUUAUAUUUUGGUUGAUAACCUUGAUUGUUUCCUAAUUAAGACAGUUCGAGCUGAAGCAUUCCCAGUGGUGCUCCAGCCUCAAAGAGGCAUGUAUAUUUUUAACAAGAAAAGUGAUAGAAGAUUGGCAACCAUAAAUUAAGCAGCAUACAGAACAAUUGGAGAACUUGGAACUUCUUCCACACAUGCCAAGAAUGAACUCAAAGCAAUGUGCAGUAUGGCUUAGGAACAGACCACCGAUGCCAUGUCUAGCCAUCGCCUGGUGGAAAAACGGGAACACUCAACAACUGCUAGGUAUUUAUGUCCUAACUCUACUGCCCUAAGCCACAAAACUAAAAAUAAAUAGAGGAGAGAAAGUUAUGAAAUCGAAAAAUCUUAAAUUCCAGUGUCUAAAUUACAUCGUUGCUGCUGUCAGACAGAGCACAUUUUAACAGCAGUGUCCAGGCGCUAGGCAGAGCUCUCUGGGAGCACCCGGCUUGCUGUUUGAGAAACUCCUGACUGGACAGUUGGGUGUCUUGGCAGGACUCGGGUGUGUGUUUAUGUUGUCCCUGUUCUCAGUUUUCCAAGCUUCUUAUUUCCAUGACCCUGGAAACCAUGCUGGAGUCUUGUGUUUCCAGAAGCUGUGUACUCUGCUCUCAGAGCCUCUCCCUGUUUCUCUGCUGGAGGUUAGCUCAUGAUUGCCCCGGUGGGAAAGUGAUUGACACCCAGUGAGGGCGGAGACUAGGGAUGAGGCUAAGACAGGGCAGCCAUGUUGUUUCUGCCUUCCUCCUGCUAGGCUCAUGCCUUCCAGCUUUGCAAUCAGGCUGAAGACAAGGGAGUCAUCAACAAAUAAAUUCCAGGCUAUAUUUCC
rnacentral:lncRNA from 1 species